GACGAACGCUGGCGGCGUGCUUAACACAUGCAAGUCGAACGGAAAUUCUCUGCGUAUUUUUGGUGCUGGAGUGGCGAGCGGGUGGUGAACACGUUGGUAACCUGCCCUUGACUUUGUGAUGACUUGGGGAAUCUUGGGCUAAGAGCGGAUAGGAGCUCCUGCGGCAUGUUGGGGGUUUGACAUUUUUGGCUGUUGGGUAUGGACACGCUGCUCCUCAGCCUGUUGGUGGGGUAGUGGAUUUCCAAGGCUUCGACGGGUAGCCGGCCUGGCAGGGUGACCGGCCACAGUGGGACAGAGAUAGGGCCCAGACUGAUACGGGAGGCAGGAGUGGGGAAUAUUGCACAAUAGGCGGAGGCCUGAUGGAGGAACGCCGCGUGCGGGAUGACGGCCUUCGGGUUGUAAAGCGCUUUCGGCUGUGACGGAGCGUGAGUGACGGUAAUAAGUAAAGAAGCCACGGCUAACUACGUG
rnacentral:rRNA from 1 species